rnacentral:rRNA from 1 species
GACGAACGCUGGCGGCGUGCUUAAUACAUGCAAGUCGAACGGAAAGGCCCUGCUUUUGUGGGGUGCUCGAGUGGCGAACGGGUGAGUAACACGUGAGUAACCUGCACUUGACAUUGGGAUAACUUCAGGAAACUGGGGCUCAUACCGGAUAGGAGCUACUGCUGCAUGGUGGGGGUUGGAAAGUCUCGGCGGUUGGGGAUAGUUUGGCAGCUUAUGAGCUUGUUGGGGGGGUAGUGGAUUACGAAGUCUUAGAAGGCUAGCCCGCCUGAGAGGGUGACCGGCGACAAGGGUACUGAGGGACGGAGCAGUCGGGUAUGUGACGCAACGGGGGGGAACAUGACACAAUGGGCGGGAGCGAGAGGCAGCGACGCCGCGUGCGGAAAGACGGCCUAUGGGUGGAGAACAGCUUUCUACUGUGACAAGGCGUGAGUGACGGUAAUGAGUAAGAAAGCACCGGCUAACUACGUG